UCCAGACUCCUACGGGAGGCAGCAGUGGGGGAUAUUGCACAAUGGGGGGAACCCUGAUGCAGCGACGCCGCGUGGGUGAAGGAGUAUUUCGGUAUGUAAAGCCCUAUCGGCAGGGAAGAAGCAAGACGGUACCUGACUAAGAAGCCCCGGCUAACUACGUGCCAGCAGCCGCGGUAAUACGUAUGGAGCAAGCGUUAUCCGGAUUUACUGGGUGUAAAGGGAGCGUAGGCGGCCUGCCAAGUCUGAUGUGAAAUACCGGGGCUCAACCCCGGGGCUGCAUUGGAAACUGGCAGGCUGGAGUGUCGGAGAGGCAGGCGGAAUUCCUAGUGUAGCGGUGAAAUGCGUAGAUAUUAGGAGGAACACCAGUGGCGAAGGCGGCCUGCUGGACGAUGACUGACGCUGAGGCUCGAAAGCGUGGGGAGCAAACAGGAUUAGAUACCCCUGUACAC
rnacentral:rRNA from 1 species